AUUUUAUACAAUUUAAAUCUGCACCUGUAUCAAAUAGUGCAAUUGCAUCUAUCACAAAAUCAUUUACCUGAAUGUUUAUUUUUACCAAAUAUUUUCUUGAAGUUAUUUCUUGUAAUAAGUUUAGAAAAUUACUAUCUACAUCUUCAUCUAAUUGAUUUAUUUCAUCUUUAUCUGGUUCUGCUUCAUCAGAAGAAGAACUAGAAAUAAGUUGAGAUUCUAAUACCUUUAUUAGUCUAUCAUGAAGUUGAAAUUGUCGUUUUAAUUCACUAACUUCCUUCUUUAGAUUUCUAACUUCAUUUUUUAAAUUACUAGUGGAAUUUUCUGCUUCUACUUUUUUAUGCUUAUUUUUA
rnacentral:lncRNA from 1 species